GGGUCGUUAGCUCAGUUGGUAGAGCAGUUGACUUUUAAUCAAUUGGUCGCAGGUUC
rnacentral:tRNA from 1 species